rnacentral:rRNA from 1 species
GUCCUUUUGAUUUUUAUUUAAGGUCUGACCUGCCCACUGAUUUAUUUAAUGGCCGCGGUAUUUUGACCGUGCAAAGGUAGCAUAAUAAUUUGUCUUUUAAUUGAAGGCUUGUAUGAAUGGUUGGACGAGAAAAUUACUUUCUUUAUAAUAAAAUUAUUAAUUUUAUUUUUUAGUUAAAAAGCUAAAAUUUUGUUGUAGGACGAGAAGACCCUAUAGAACUUUAUAUUUAUUUUUAUAUUAAUAUUUUUGGUUAAUAAUAUAUUAUAUUUUUAUAUAUAUUUUGUUGGGGCGACAAGAAAAUUUAUUUAACUUUUUUUUAUUAAUUUCAUUAAUUAAUGUAUAAAUGAUCCUUUAUUAUGGAUAAUUAGAAUAAGUUACCUUAGGGAUAACAGCGUAAUUUUUUUGGAGAGUUCUUAUCGAUAAAAAAGUUUGCGA